CAAAGUGCACGUGGUGGAGCAGCAGCUGCUGCUGUUUCCUGACAGCAAGAAAAGAGUCAGCAUGCCCCUGGUUAGGGUUUUGUUAAAGCCAUUCCUGCUUUUACAUCCCCCUCUCCCCACCCUGUGUGCGGGCACUCGCUGCAGCCCCAUCCCCUUGCAGCCACUGCACCGUGUGCUGUUACCCAGGUGUGGACAAAACAGAGGAGAAACACCACGGGAUGGGAUUGCCCACAGAUGGGGAUGAGUUAAUUAAGGAAAGAAAGGCCCACACUAUUUUUGAGGUAAGAAUAUGAAGUUUGAAAACAAUGCUGAACAUAAUGCCUUUUAUCCACAUGUGGGAAGAAAAGAAGUGAACAGAUCACCUAUGUUCAACCUUUGAAGAAUAUCAAGGAUAAAUCUAAUUUUACCUGGUUUAUUUUUCCCUCAAGGGAUUUUUAUAGGACAAAGCAGAGAGAUGUCCUUAAGUAAGGAAGUGACCAGGAACAAAAAUUAUACGAGCAUGGAAUCACUUAGGUUGGAAAAGACCUCCAAGAUCAUCAAGUCUAACCAUUAACCCAGCACAGUUGAAGCAGAUGAAGGGGUUUCACCAGGCACUUUCUGUGAAACUCAGCCACCUCCUAUGCCACCAGGUUGCUCUCUUGACUGUGUUGCCUUUUAACAGCAAGAGGAAACUGUGAGAUAAAGAUCUGAUCCUGGAGAUCAGUAAAGGGUGAGCUGAAGUAGCUCUCCGGAGAUGGUGCUUCUUCAAUCGAAUGUGGAAAUAAGGACUGCUGCUGAAAACUGGCUUGUGGCAGGCAAGCUCAGGAGCCCUUUGGGGUUCAAAUAGUCUUGUGUCGUGUGAAGGUAGGUAUUUUUUUUUAAGAUUAAUUCAAUUAGAAAACAACUAUCCUGGCCAGACUGGUUUUCUCCUUGCCUAGAAAGGACAAAAGGAAAAGUCAUUUACCUUUGUCUUACCUUUAUGCAACGCCAUCUGCAAGUUCAGGAGUAUUGAAUUUCCUUGUAUUUCAGCCAUGCAUGGAAACAAGGGUGGAAGCAGGAUCUCAGCCUGGUCCCGCCUGUGGUAGUGCUGGUGAAACCCCUCUGGAGCAGCAAGGACUGGGGCUGACUUUCUACUCCAAUACCCACAGCCAUUUUUGUCUUCAAAACAUGGUUUGGGGCUGCUGGCUGCUCUGCAGUCUGCAUUGCCCACACUCCAACCAUAUUUCCAGCUUUGCUUUGCAGUAUAUUGCUUUUUCAGUGCAACCUACACACUGACACCAUCACAGAAAUGCAGGCACUGGGGCUUGGGCAGCUAUGAUCUGGCCUUCUGGGUCAUCGUUUGUGCAUGUGUAACCUCAGCAUCAGCUUGUGCUACAGCAGCCCAGGGUAUUUCUAUUUCCCAGCUGCACUGAAGUCUGUUUUGUGUUAGAGACAGAAGACAAGGUGUCACUUCUUUGUAUUGUACUGUCCAUAUACUUUCCAUAGCCUUAUCAUUUUUCUGUCCUCACCCUUUGCUGCUUUUUGUUUAAAUCUUCAUUUCUUUGUCCACCAUUUCUCUGCUCUUCUUCCACUUGCACGGAUUCACACAGGGGCAGUUUGGCGCAGAACCACUGGAGCACAUGGAGGUCUGUUGAGUGAUUUGGGAUGAGCUUUGUCUCCUGAGAACCUUCUUCCCCAUCUCCCACCUCUUUUGCAGUUUAUCUCUAGCAGACAACAAAGCAAACACCAUUCUGGUCCCACUUCCCACGCCUCCAAUAACCAGGUACAUUCCACAUUAAGCAGAGUUAAUACAAUUUUUCUUUUAAUAGCAAAGUUUCGUGAAUCAAGCACAAACAUUCCUUUACGAUGAUGCUAGUAAGACUAGUAUAAACCAAUGCCCUGAAUUUACAUUUAGCCAUUCAAGGUCACUAGUGAUAUCUCUGCUUUUGAAAUGGGGAAAGUGGCUACUGCAGUUAACUUUCAUGCUAAAAAUCUACGACUUUCUUCAGUAUUCAAAGAGCAUGUGGAGAAAAGUGAAAAGGUGUGAUGCUAACUAUGAGAGCUGUCUGCUAGAGCUGUUUUUCCCUCAAGCAGAAUUGACUAAAUCUGCACUGUUUGCUGCAAAUAAAAUUAGUGGCUAAGGCUUGCAAAAAUGGAAAUGUUGAUGGAGACGUGGCUCCUGCAGUGCUGGCAGGAGUGUGGGACUGCAUCCAGACACGUGGACCACCCACGGCAUGCACCACCUCUUCCUGCUUUGCAAGAAGCCAGAUACAGUUGCACUUCAGAAAACAAAAUCACAGAAUCACAGAAUGGUUGAGGCUGGAAAGGACCUCUGGAAAUCAUCUAGUCCAACCGCCACCACGACCUCUCCCCAAGCAGGAUAACCUAGAGCAAAACAGACAAUUAUUUUCAGGGAGAAAAAAUGCCUCCACUCUAAAGCAUGCUUUAAUAAGACCAGAAUGUGAAAAGGAGAAGAAUCUCUGAAAGAAAAAAAAAUUGCUUUGGGACUCCUGUGUGUUUAUGUACAUGUGCACUUGCGUUCAUGAGUGUCAUGAAGUGAGCAAUUAGAAAGAGAGACAGGUCACGGGCACAUGUUUUCCAGAAAAAUCAGGUCAUUUUCUCCAGGAUUUGUCUUUCAAGACUGCAGAUCCAACAGUCACAGAGUGCUUCCUUCUGUUCUUGUAAUCCAUGAGAACAUGGCAAAGCUCCGCGACCACCUGUCAACCUAUUUUUGUAAAGUGCCAUAGAAACACUCCUUGAAAAGGACUAGAUGAUCUUGACUGCCCUAUUGGAUACACAGGAUAUCUUUCGCUUUGAUGCAUGGGUUUCGCAUUCGGUUUUGCUGGAGGCAGGGGAUGGUGUACCUUGGCCAGGAGUCGAGAGAGAUGGGCUUUCCCCAACCAGCCAAACCUAUGCUGCUGGUUUCCAGGUUGUUUGCCCCUGGCCCAAAUCCAGCACUGUGGAGUUAGGUGGGAAUUUUGCAGAUGACCUUGGUAGAUGCUGAAUCCAGCUAUCGCAUGAGGAAACACCACUGAGGAGAGCUCUCCAGCUCCCAAAGGGCUGGGGGAUGCUUGUUCUGCAUCCUGGGUACCCUACCAUUCAAAUCCUAGGGUCCGAUCCUAAGGGUCCUACAUGUUCCUUGUGCAAAUGGUGCUUCUCCAGGAACCCACUUCAUCCAAGCAAAAAGAAAAGCAGGAGUGGAAGCCCCAGUGAUCAUCCCUCUUGGUGCUAAUCUAUUCUUAAACUGAACUGUACUCUUUUGAUAUUUUAGUAAAACUGUCAUGAAUCAACA